rnacentral:rRNA from 1 species
UCUAGAUGCAUGCUCGAGCGGCCGCCAGUGUGAUGGAUAUCUGCAGAAUUCGCCCUUGGAUUAGGCAUGCAAGUCGAACGAGAAAGGUUUUCUUCGGAAGACCGAGUACAGUGGCGAACGGGUGAGUAAUGCAUAGAUAACUUGCCCCUGAGAUGGGAAAAACGUUUCGAAAGAAACGCUAAUACCCAAUGCCGUCUUGAGUCCUCGGACUCUGGAUGAAAGGAGGCCUCUGAUUUAAGCUUCCGCUCAGGGAGAGGUCUAUGUCCUAUUAGCUUGUUGGUGAGGUAACGGCUCACCAAGGCUUCGAUGGGUAGCCGACCUGAGAGGGUGACCGGCCACAUUGGGACUGAGACACUGCCCAAACUCCUACGGGAGGCUGCAGUCGAGAAUCUUCCGCAAUGCGCGCAAGCGUGACGGAGCGACGCCGCGUGGGUGAUGAAGGCCUUCGGGUUGUAAAGCCCUGUCAGUUGUUAGGAACGACAGGCGGUCAAUAGCUGUCCUGUUUGACCCGCAACAAAGGAAGCACCGGCUAAAUACGUGCCAGCAGCCGCGGUAAUACGUAUGGUGCGAACGUUGUUCGGAAUCACUGGGCCUAAAGAGCGCGUAGGCGGUUUGGUAAGUCAGGUGUGAAAUCCCUCGGCUCAACCGAGGAACUGCACCUGAUACUGCUUGACUAGAGUGCAGGAGGGGAGAGUGGAAUUCCUGGUGGAGCGGUGAAAUGCGUAGAUAUCAGGAGGAACGCCGGUGGCGAAAGCGAUUCUCUGGCCUGCUACUGACGCUGAGACGCGAAAGCUAGGGGAGCAAACGGGAUUAGAUACCCCGGUAGUCCUAGCCCUAAACGAUGGGCACUAAGUAGAGGGAGGGCGAAU